CCUUUGUUUUUGAAAGCAGCCAGGACUGGAACCUCUGAACACAACCUUGGUAUGUCUGGUGCUCCUCACAGAUCUUCUGAAGCAGUGAAAGACGUUCCUAGCACAGCGGGAAAUAUAUCUCUUGUCUCUCCUGGGCCUGAGGAUCCACACUGGGGUCCUGGGUUCUGUUGUGCAGUGCAGCUGCCUCAUCCAGCAGCCUCUCCAGUAGCACCGCCUGACCUUUGAUAUCACUCACCACCACCCUCUGCUGAUCCACCUGCCAAAGCUUCUCUUUCACUCCAAGCUGCAUCUCUAGCUCGACAUCAUGGCUUCGUUGCUGCUUCGUCAACCACAGCUCAAACUCUUCGUAGGCCUUCAGGAAACUCUGGCUGGCACAGCCCGGCGGUCAAUCCAGAAUGACACCCAUGAAAGCAUCACCAUGAGUGUGGCUGGAAAGUACGUCUGCAGCAGGAAGAAGAAGAUGUGACGUCUCAAUGUGAAGUUGAUGUAGAGACGAUUGUACCAGCCUGCAAACACAGCAAGAGACCUUCUCAGAGUGGAGAAGGUUAGGAUGGGAAGCUGCUGGCCUGCAUAUGCCCUUUCUCCUCUCCAAUCGCUGUCCAGUCAGCAUUAUCUCAGCUAAGUAUAAUUUAGAUGAUUUAAUUAAUAUUUUGUGAUUGCUAUUAUUAUUUGAUUCUGCUUUUGCUUUGCUCCUGCUAAAUUGCUUCAAUUAGAUAUCCUGUAAUUAAAGUCCUUUUUAACCCUUUGUGAAAGGGUAAAGGUAUAAAUCUGAGUAUUAAUCCUUACUGGUAUAAAUAAGUCUUACAGGUUACCUUUAAAAGUAACAGAACUUUGAGGUCUACUGUCCAUGCCCCUAAAUUUAACCCAGUGCACCAAUUUAGAGGGGAUCUGCCAUAACAGGUGUCACUGGUAAGAUAACGGGCCUGCAAGGCUAUUCAGACACUUGUUUAUGCUUUUCUUUUCUUAUCAUGGGAUUAAUUUCCAAAGUAUCAAGAAGAAUCGCAAUACUAAACAAAGCAAACGUCCACUCACUGGAAAAUAAACUGAACCAUCUCAGACAGGAUGUAACAUCAACACGAGAGGUGAAAGACAGUUGUGUACUCGUGCUUACUGAGACCUGGCUGAAGGAUACGGUGAGGGACCAAGCUAUUAGCUUAGCAGGGCUAACCAUAUGCGUAUUUAGAUAAGCAUGAAAUAAAGAAACAUAAAAACAUGAAGAUAUGAUAAUAAUUUGUACUUCAUGUAGUGUAUAUAUUAUAUUGGAAAAUAUGUUCAUUGUUAUUACUGCAGUUUAUAUCAGUACAGAAGCUGAAUAAAUAUUAACUGAUAACUUAUGGUGAAGGGGUGGGAUUAAAUAAGUGUGCACUUCUUCCAACUCCUUUUAGAUGUGUAACUCAAUCAGAAUAGGUGAAGCAAUAUUGAGGUGUAUUUUGCUUUGUUUUGUAUAGUAUUUCUUAUUUCUUUUCUUUCCUAAAUGAACUUCUGUAUAUUGUUUACAUGAGGUGGCUGUAGCUCAGGAGGUAGAGCAGGUCACCUACUGAUUGUAAGG